rnacentral:rRNA from 1 species
GAUGAACGCUGGCGGCGUGCCUAAUACAUGCAAGUCGAGCGAAUGGAUUAAGAGCUUGCUCUUAUGAAGUUAGCGGCGGACGGGUGAGUAACACGUGAGUAACCUGCCCAUAAGACUGGGAUAACUCCGGGAAAACGGGGCUAAUACCGGAUAAAAUUUUGAACCGCAUGGAUCGAAAUUGAAAGGCGGCUUCGGAUGUCAAUUAUGGCUGGACCCGCGUCGCAUUAGCUAGUUGGUGAGGUAACGGAUCACCAAGGCAACGAUGCGUAGCCGACCUGAGAGGGUGAUCGGCCACACUGGGACUGAGACACGGCCCAGACUCCUACGGGAGGCAGCAGUAGGGAAUCUUCCGCAAUGGACGAAAGUCUGACGGAGCAACGCCGCGUGAGUGAUGAAGGCUUUCGGGUCGUAAAACUCUGUUGUUAGGGAAGAACAAGUGCUAGUUGAAUAAGCUGGCACCUUGACGGUACCUAACCAGAAAGCCACGGCUAACUACGUGCCAGCCGCCGCGGUAA